UACGUAGGGUGCGAGCGUUAAUCGGAAUUACUGGGCGUAAAGAGUGCGCAGGCGGUUCUAUAAGACAGAUGUGAAAUCCCCGGGCUUAACCUGGGAACUGCGUUUGUGACUGUAGGACUGGAGUGUGGCAGAGGGGGGUGGAAUUCCACGUGUAGCAGUGAAAUGCGUAGAGAUGUGGAGGAACACCGAUGGCGAAGGCAGCCCCCUGGGUUAACACUGACGCUCAUGCACGAAAGCGUGGGUAGCAAACAGG
rnacentral:rRNA from 1 species